CGUACCGGAUGCUUACCAUGCAGUCGAACGGUGUCUUCGGACACAGUGGCGGACGGGUGAGUAACGCGUGAGAAUCUGGCUUUAGGUCUGGGACAACCACUGGAAACGGUGGCUAAUACCGGAUGUGCCGAGAGGUGAAAGGUUAACUGCCUGAAGAUGAGCUCGCGUCUGAUUAGCUAGUAGGUAGUGUAAUGGACUACCUAGGCGACGAUCAGUAGCUGGUCUGAGAGGACGAUCAGCCACACUGGGACUGAGACACGGCCCAGACUCCUACGGGAGGCAGCAGUGGGGAAUUUUCCGCAAUGGGCGAAAGCCUGACGGAGCAAUACCGCGUGAGGGAGGAAGGCUCUUGGGUCGUAAACCUCUUUUCUCAGGGAAGAACACAAUGACGGUACCUGAGGAAUAAGCAUCGGCUAACUCCGUGCCAGCAGCCGCGGUAAUACGGAGGAUGCAAGCGUUAUCCGGAAUGAUUGGGCGUAAAGCGUCCGCAGGUGGCUAUGUAAGUCUGCUGUUAAAGAGUCUAGCUCAACUAGAUAAGAGCAGUGGAAACUACAUGGCUAGAGUGCGUUCGGGGCAGAGGGAAUUCCUGGUGUAGCGGUGAAAUGCGUAGAA
rnacentral:rRNA from 1 species